UCUUGGUCAUUUAGAGGAAGUAAAAGUCGUAACAAGGUUUCCGUAGGUGAACCUGCGGAAGGAUCAUUACUGAUUUGCUUAAUUGCACCACAUGUGUUUUUCUUUGAAACAAACUUGCUUUGGCGGUGGGCCCAGCCUGCCGCCAGAGGUCUAAACUUACAACCAAUUUUUUAUCAACUUGUCACACCAGAUUAUUACUAAUAGUCAAAACUUUCAACAACGGAUCUCUUGGUUCUCGCAUCGAUGAAGAACGCAGCGAAAUGCGAUACGUAAUAUGAAUUGCAGAUAUUCGUGAAUCAUCGAAUCUUUGAACGCACAUUGCGCCCUCUGGUAUUCCGGAGGGCAUGCCUGUUUGAGCGUCGUUUCUCCCUCAAACCGCUGGGUUUGGUGUUGAGCAAUACGACUUGGGUUUGCUUGAAAGACGGUAGUGGUAAGGCGGGAUCGCUUUGACAAUGGCUUAGGUCUAACCAAAAACAUUGCUUGCGGCGGUAACGUCCACCACGUAUAUCUUCAAACUUUGACCUCAAAUCAGGUAGGACUACCCGCUGAACUUAAGCAUAUCAAUAAGCGGAGGAAAUCAC
rnacentral:rRNA from 1 species